rnacentral:tRNA from 3 species
AGUAAAGUCAGCUAAUCAAGCUCUUGGCCUCAUACCCCAAACAUGUUGGUUAAAGUCCUUCCUUUACUA